UACGAAGGGGGCUAGCGUUGCUCGGAAUUACUGGGCGUAAAGGGAGCGUAGGCGGAUAGUUCAGUCAGAGGUGAAAUCCCGGGGCUCAACCUCGGAACUGCCUUUGAUACUGGCCAUCUUGAGUAUGGGAGAGGUGUGUGGAACUCCGAGUGUAGAGGUGAAAUUCGUAGAUAUUCGCAAGAACACCAGUGGCGAAGGCGGCUCACUGGCCCGGAACUGACGCUGAGGUGCGAAAGCGUGGGGAGCAAACAGG
rnacentral:rRNA from 1 species